UUUGUCGAACCGAGGCCAUUGCAAGUACUGAUUAAAGUGAGAAUCAUUUAAAAUGAUAAACAUGUACAAAGAAUUAAAUAAUAAUAAAAGUAAAGAAUUAUAAUAAAUUAAGGAUUGUAAUGAUAACGACAGUAAUGACGAUGAUGAUAUAAUAAAAUUAAAAAGUAUAUUAAAAAACUAAAACAAUUAAAAAUUAUCAUUAACAUACUGAGUUCAAACUUCAGGCAUUGUACAGCGUCUCAGUAUCAAAUAUUCCAAAUUCUCUAAUGCCCCCAACUAUUCUAAACCAAUAUCUUAUUGCAUAUGAGUCUAAAAUUGAUUACAAGGUGGACUACAUUUAUUGCCAGCCACU
rnacentral:lncRNA from 1 species